rnacentral:rRNA from 1 species
UGCGUAGGCGGGUCUUUAAGUCAGGGGUGAAAUCCUGGAGCUCAACUCCAGAACUGCCUUUGAUACUGAGGAUCUUGAGUUCGGGAGAGGUGAGUGGAACUGCGAGUGUAGAGGUGAAAUUCGUAGAUAUUCGCAAGAACACCAGUGGCGAAGGCGGCUCACUGGCCCGAUACUGACGCUGGAGGACGAAAGACGUGGGGAGCAAACA